GGAGUGGGUGUAGCUUAGUGGUUGAGCACCUGCUUCGCAUGUAUGAGGCGCCAGGUUCAAUCCCUGGUACCUCCU
rnacentral:tRNA from 1 species